UUGAAAAGAAAGUCAGAUAUACUAAAAUUGGAAAGCUGCAAAUAAGAUUAAUAUGGCCCCUACUCAAGAAUGACACUAAUUUGUGAAGUGUUCCAUAUUUUU
rnacentral:snRNA from 1 species